rnacentral:sRNA from 1 species
UUUUUGUAUUUCACAGUAUGAAGAUGAUGAAAAUGAUGAGGGAGAAGAAGAAGAUUAUGAUGAGGAAGCUGAUCCUGAUUUUAAUCCUGAGGCCUCUAACUAAGCGGUUUCCAAGGAUGCUAAGUUAAGGCAUUUUGGCACAGGGCAAGCCAAAUGAAUGUAAACAGCAGUAGAUUUCUUGCUUGAAGUUUCACUGUUUGUGUUGUGAUAGCGAAUGACAGAACAACAUAAUGAAUACUUGCUUCAGUUGCUUUAACUUCAAGAUAACAAAAAUUCAUUAUUUUCACAAUGUUUUUUUUCUUUGAGGACAUUUUUCAUGAAAAUUUUGCCCCCAAAAAAUUGGAUUAAACACACAAAACUAAA